rnacentral:rRNA from 1 species
UACGUAGGGGGCGAGCGUUGUCCGGAUUUACUGGGUGUAAAGGGUGCUCAGGUGGUCUUACAAGUCAGAGGUGAAAGCCCAGGGCUUAACUCUGGAACUGCCUUUGAUACUGUAAGGCUUGAGUAUGGAAGAGGUUGAUGGAAUUUCGGGUGUAGCAGUGAAAUGCGUAGAUAUCCGAAAGAACACCAGUGGCGAAGGCGGUCAACUGGUCCAUUACUGACACUAAAGCACGAAAGCGUGGGUAGCAAACAGG